rnacentral:antisense_RNA from 1 species
CAGUGGCCCUGGGGGUCUCCUCCAGCUCCACCUCAUGACACCCCGUGCUGCUGCGUGACUGCUCCUGGUGCCAAGGCCACCGCUGCCAUGAGUCUGAAUGGCUAAUGUUGAGAUUAGCAGGGCCUCCCUUCUACUGGCCUGUCCUCCUGGCUCUCCUCCCUUUUGCCUCUUCUGGAUUUCAGGGAGCUUUUCUGUGCCAAACCAGGAAUCACAGACAUGCAGGGGCAAGAGGGUCUACUCUAGCAUGGAUUAAGAUGGCCUCCUAAAGCCAUCUUAUGCCCAAGUAAAUAAGUAUCCAAUAAACAGACAAUAUCUACAACAGAAAAACAGCACCCACUGAACUCAAGUGACCUGCAACUUUCCUGAAAACCUAUAUGGCAAGGACAGACAAUAAAGCCAGCUAGAGAAUGAA